rnacentral:lncRNA from 1 species
GAUAGUGGGGGUCGAUAUAUAUUUUACCUUACUGUUGUAUACAUCAGGUUCUAUGUUAUCAGCAUCCUAUACUUUCAUGUAAUCGGACGAUUAUCUUGGUUGAAACACUAAGGUUUUAAGAGUAGCAUAACCCUUUAUUGUGGUCUAAAUGCCCUUUUUUCGGAAAAUUAUUGGCUGGUAAAUGCUGGAAAUCGAUGCUAAUCUGGGAACGGUGAAUGCAAAUUGCAGUUUGAGUGCACUGUGCUGCUGCUGUGUUGUGGACCGUUGCUUCUGAGGAGGAGAGCAACAAGACUGAAAGUGUGAUUUUCAUGUGAAGGAGGAGGACUCUUUUGUUAUUUGCUUUUGUUAUUAUAUUUUCUGUGUCUAUUUUGUGGUCCCACGCCGAUUCCUCAAAUAAUACGGACUUUGCUUGUCAAUUUGUAAGUGUAUUUCCCCCCCGCCUAUGUGGUCGAUGUGUUUUGUUCUAGAAUCUGUACCAUGCCGCUGCUGCUGCUUAAAGUCCCACAUGAAUUUGUCCUCUUCGUGGUAGUAUAGGAGCGACCAAAUCUGAUUUCAUUGUAUCGCUUAGGGAUGUGCAAUCGAGUCAGUUUUCAAUUCAAGAAACCGAACCUAAACUAACCUACUUUACAACGGUCGAUUCUAGGACGGCGGUUCAUGUUAAGAUUGGUUCAAUUUUCGAGUAAAACCUUUUGGGGAUUGGCCUUUGCCAAUUCAACUCUUGAUUCCUUACUUUGAACUAAUUGUCCCCAUCCUGAAACCUACUUUAAAUGGUUUUCGGAUACAAUCGGUUCUUAUGGGGAAUUUCCUCGCUUUUGGGGUGCGGUAGUGUGUUGGAAUAGAAGAUUGAAGAAGGGAAUAUCCGCAUGCUCUUUUAAAUGGUGUAAUGUAGAAAGGAUAUACACGAAAUCAAGAAAAAGUCAAAUCAUGUCAUCGUGGAUUCCACCUUGUUUAUGAUAUCAGGACGAAUUUGACGAUUAUUCUUACAACGUCGCAUAAUAAGUUCAUCAAUUAUUUCAUCUAUAUUUUUAUGAUAUUGAUUUUUUUUCUCUAUUCUAAUAAUAGUGACUGUCUUACAUUCACAUCUCGGAUAUCAUGAAAUUUUCAAAGUUAAAUUUUUCGUCAAACGAUUGUUAUCACCAAGAUGUCUCUCGGCAGUGUAGCACAAGCCUCCCAAAAGUCAAGUCACAACCCCGCGUUUAUCACAAUCUCAAUGACUGGCGAAUUUCGAUCAAAACAAAAAAACUAGUGUGGUGAAGAUUUUGGUCAAUAUGAAAUUAUUGGAUUGACUUGACUAAAAUUGCAUUUGUGGAGUCGCCUCAAGAGAAAACGACGCUUAGGAGAUGGCCACAAGAGGAUGAUGUCAUCUUCCAAUUGCAUCCAACCACCUUAGCAUGUUGGCACAUGAUACCAACUCAUCUUCUUUUUCCCUCUCCCGAUUAAUAAAAUCGGAAAAUAUUUUUUAAAAAUAAUCAUUUAUACCACUUAAAAUAAAUUACUAAUAAUUUUAUUUUUAUUUUUAUAGGUGAUGAAAAUAUUCAUCAUUCAUUUUUGUAAUUGACACCAAAUGAUUAAUUUUGUGAAUUUUUUUUCUAAAUUAUUCAUUUUUCACGAAAUAAACCGAGCCAAUCCUUUCAUUAAUUUUUGGGAAAAUUGUAGGGAGAGAUUACCUAAUUUCUUGGCAACAUGGGGAAAAGUGCUAAAAAAGUCCUAAACUUUUUGUCUUUGUGCCGAUUUAAUCCUAAAUCUUUUUUUAGUGCUGAUUUAGUCCUAAACUAGGUUAUGCCAGUCCUAAACUAGGUUGUGCCAAUUCAGUCAUUUCCGGCCAAUUUUGGCCGGAUUUUGCUGACUAGACGUCGGCCGGCUGACGUGGCCUGAUCGGCGCUGACGUGAACAACUUUUAAUAAUAUUUUAAUAUUUUUGUCGAGAUUAAACCUUUGCAAGAACAAUUUCAUUGAAAAGUUUCAAGCUACCUUAGGUGAAGAGCUAAUAGUAAGCAUACAUUGAUACCGAUUUCUGAUUGUCGCAGAGCAAGAAUACCUCGAAGGAAAUAUAGGUCGACAAUGUCUCGUUGCAGCCAUUCUCGAAGAAGCAAUGGCGGUUUCACCAAGACCAAAGCAUUGAGAGCAAAGUGAGAUUGCAAGUUACUUAUCCAUAUUCAAAAGCCGGCGUUGGCGGAGCCANNNNNNNNNNNNNNNNNNNNNNNNNNNNNNNNNNNNNNNNNNNNNNNNNNNNNNNNNNNNNNNNNNNNNNNNNNNNNNNNNNNNNNNNNNNNNNNNNNNNGCAGGCUCAGUACUUGGAGGAGGUGCUUAGGGGGGCUUAUUCUCAUCCUGCCGUGGAAGGGAUCAUAAUUUUCGCAGGCACUUUGCCUGCCGGCUUUUCUGCCACUGCUCUCACAGACAUGAACUUCAACAGCACCCCCACCGGAGACGUCGUGGACAAGCUGAUCAAGGAAUGGAAAUCUGAUGACCUGAAAGCUCGCACAGAUGAAGGAGGGUUCUUUGGCACUUCGUUGCUCCAUGGAGAAUAUGAGAUCACAAUAAUCGAUCCGAUCACGAAUUCCUCUUCCACUUCAAUAUUCGAAGUGACUAAGGAUAGCUCAGAGAAGAUCUUCCAUAUUCAGAUGGAAUGAAUAGUCUGCCACAAGCUCCUAUACACCUAAGGAUAGUUUUUGAGCGUCGAUUGAUGCUGAUAUAAUUCAUAGUAUAGGUAUUUUUAAAAGUAGAUAAUUCAUCUUAGGAUUUCAUGAGCAAUAGUCAACAUUUUUCAAUUUUCGUUCUUUCUAGGAGACUUUUCUGAAAUUAGAGUAAUAGGAACAUUACAUAUUUGGUUCUACUCUUCUACUCAGGAUCAGGUAUUAGUGAUUUUUUGUUCUCUCGAUGCUUUGAAUGAAGUUGACUGGGAGAAUGUUUUACCUGUUCUGAUGACGCAAUCCUAAACAAUUAAGCUAAUGCCUUCAGUUUUAAGCCAUUUGAAGGCAAAUCAGCACCAACACAGGCAAUAUCAAAUACGCCAACUGCCCUUUUGCGACUUUCUGGCGUGUUGACAUGCAAAUUGCCAAUUCGAUUGCGCGAUUAGUACUAUCAUGAAUGCAAGAAUGAAGAACCAAACAUUGAUCGUAGAUGAUAGGAACCCAAGAUCUCAGCCUGAAAAAGAAAAAUGGCCAUAUGAAUUAUUCUGCACAUAUGAUCUUCCAAGUAGUUCGCAUUUUUGGUCUCCUAGAAGAUACAUAGCUAAAGCCUGCAGGGGACAGCUUGCAAUCCUAAACUAAGCAGAAAAAAGAUAGAAAAAUUGUGAUUGAGUUCGAAAUUAUGUGAGUUCAAUGGUAAUGAGAGAAUUAAUUGAAGCUUCGAUGUCUACCUAUAUAACAAGCAGUGUCCGGCACUAAAGUAUUUUUGCAACAAUGACCUACUAGGCUAACUCUAAGCUUAAAUUUUUUCGAACUAGUUAUAUCUUUCUAGUUCGAUCUUAUAUUUUAACUUACGCAAACAUAAAUAUUACACUAUAAAAUGAAUCAAUCAUCGUUUUUGCCUUCUGAUGGACCGAGAGAAGAGACAACAUUCGCAAUGCGACCAUCACCAUUGCCACCCCACAACUACCGCAUCGCCUGAGGUGACCCGGCCAGCAUUAUUAACAGGCUUCUGAGAGAAAUUUCCACAUUCUCAUAGAGGUGCAAAAUCACUUGUAUGUCAUCAAUAAGCAUGAUCUUCUAGGUCAAAAUUACAUGCUAUUGACUAUUCAUACAAAUAAUUACUGACAUUUUUAUUGAACCCUUUUGCUUUUUCCCUCCUUAAUUAAUCUUAAUUAGCAGUUAUCUGUCAACCAUCAAACACUAUCCUCAGAUAUCUAUAGGAGCUUUCAGCUGAGCUUUUAUCCAAUCUAAAAAUGGAAAGUUCUCCCUGAGCUAUCUCUGGUCACUUCAAAUCUUGAAGUGGAGGAGCAAUUUGUGGCUGGGUCGGUUAUCGUAAUCUCAUACUCUCCAUGGAACAGUGAAGUGCUAAAGAACCCUCCAUCGUUGGUGCAGGCUUCGAAAUCAGGGGAUUUCCAUUCCUUGAUUAGGUUGUCCACGAUGUCCCCAGCCGGCAUGUUGUUGAAGCUUUUGUUGGUGAGAGCGGUGGCAUUGAAGCCGGUGUACGCAGGGCCUGCAAACAUUAUGAUCCCUUCCACAGCAGGAUGUGAAAAAGCCUCCCUUAGGAUCUCCUCCAAGUACUGAGCCUGCGAUGCCAGAAAAAGAAAAAACUUUAAUGCAUUAGGGAGUGCCAAUCCUUUGAUAUUGCACUUUCAAUUUGUCACUAAUCACAACUCUAAAUUGGUUCAGGACAGCACAUUAUAGGAUGAGUGUGGAUGCCCAUUAUUAAGAAAAUCAAAUAUUUUAUUUAAUAUUGACAGGGAAGGUUGGUGAAGUUGGGCGGGCCGAUUGCAGGAAGAGAAAUGCUUGCCCAAGCCUGCCCAAUUUUUCCUUUCGGGCCAACCAGUCUGACAGGGCACACCCGGUUGCGUGGCCAUGCAUAGUUGAUACCUGGUUAACUCCUGGUUCCACAGACACUUCUGUGAGCCAAAUGGGAACACCAGUUGUGAGCCAAAAUGGCCUUGUACUCCUAUUCCUGCUGGGAUAUCUUCGUUUCCAGGGUACGAAAAUAUCUCCUUGAACCUCUUCUUGUAGUUCCCCGGGCUCACCUUCUCGUCCCCACAGUACUCAAUGGUGUUGUACUCAUUCAAGAACAUCCUCGGGGUUGGAUCGAGUUUGUAUGAGGUCGAGUAGUAUAUCGAGGAAGCAUUUUUCCCAAGGUUGUCCUCAAAGAAGCUGAAGUGCAGGUUCUCAUUGACCACAUCCCAAGCAAUCAAUUUUCCUGCAUAUCUGGAGACAACCGAAUUGAUCCUCUUCUCUGCUGCUUUUCGCAGGUCCUCGGGCAACAGGGUCUUGACCCAAUCAGGCUGGUAGUUGGGAUCGUCCCAGAAAACAUUGUGGCCUCGGAUUGAAAUGCCGUUAUCUUGCGAGAACUUCACCAUUGCGUCGGCUAUUGUGUAGUUCUCUUGGCCUUGUUUUGCCUCUGUGCUGUACCACUUCAUUGCGUUGGUGAAAGUGGUGUACCUGAACCUCGAAGCGAACCAGUUUUGAUAAUCAGUGCUCUCGAGGAUGUGGAAGUUCAUACCGCACCCGAAUGGGAAGCCUGGUUUGGUUUGUUUGACAAGAAAUUUGGCUCCUCUGACCGCGAGUCCUCUUUUCUUCCCAUAAGUUAUCUGGAACCUCACUCUGCUCUUCCGUACCUGCGAGAUUAAAAUUCGCAACAGGUUUUUUUUUUUUUUUUUUGAGCUAACUUGGGACAACUUCUGAUUUCACCUUCUCUAUGCUUUUAUCUUGGUGAAACCUCCAUUGCUUCUUCGAGAAUGGCUGCAGCGCAACAUUGUCGACCCAUAUUUCUUUCGAGGUAUUCUUGCUCUGCCACAAUCAGGAAUCAGAACAACAUUAGCACUCCACCUAAUGUAGCUUCCAACUUUUCAGUGAAAGUAUUCUCACACAGGUUUAAUCUUGACCAAAUUCAGGAGGAAUAUGGCAAACACACUGCACGUUUACUCCCGAUCGAAGGGUGAAUUUCGAAAAGUACUGAUUACUGGAGAAGUUAACUGUACACAUGGGGGAUAACAAUAGCAAUCAUACAUCAAGUCUCUGAUCUUGUCUUGAAUUCAGUUCAUUUUUCGAAUGUGCUGAUCUUCUAAUAAUCACCUCAGAAGGCAUAAACUAGUUGACGUGUGUUCUUUCAGAAGUAGAUUAAUCUAAAACAGUUCAGUGGCCAUCACUUCACCUCGAAAAGAACAUCGACAGUGCUCGAAGAAUUCGCAGCGACGCCUCCUUUUAGCAAAGACCAGCACUCUUGCUCUGCCACGAUGCUGCCUCCAGGGACAAACUCGCCAUCUCCAACUCCAAAUACCACUGACACCGUCUCUUUUCCUUCAUUGACUUGUAUCCAAGCUGCGAAAAUCCCUCAUCGACAUGAGUAAUAAAUCAUCUUAAACUUCAUCCACAGAUUAUCCGCUGGAGGGGUAUCCCAAGGACGCGGACCUACCCGCCGGGCACCCCCUGCAGGGCUAUGACGCCGAGUAUACCCCGCCGUCGCCGCUGCCUCCGCCGCAGCGGUCUCUGCUGCCGCUCGGUAAGGCACCGAAGGUGGUACCGAGGUCGCGUUUCGGGAGCAUCUCCGGUUUCGUGGAUAGCUGGUACGUCUCCUAAUUCUUCCCCCCCAUCUUGUUCUCUCGUCUGGGAUCGGUAUCAUUCGUGUAGCCAAACAUGCGAUUUCUUCAGUUUUCCCGUCACAUGCAUCCGGUCGUGCGGUUCCACCCGAACGGUUCGGGUUGAGUCCCGCUCUAAGGGCGUCAAUCCGGGCCGUCGGUGGCGGACGAUUUGGCGGGUGAAAGAGAGUCUGGUCUGUUUCGACCCCGAUUUUUCGUGGGGGUCUUUUGGCCACAGCGACAGCAGUCCGCAGAACUCCCGACUAGAGUUGGCAAAAUGGGCCAUAAAUCCAUCUCAUUUUUAGUUAAAUGGGUUAUAUAUUGGGUCUAGUGAAAAUGAAAUAUAGGUGACAAAUGAGUCUUUGAAAGUAAAGCAAAAAAAAAAAAAAAGGGGGUCUGAAUGGGUUUUUAGAAAACCCACUUUGAACCCAUGGCCUUCCUUCCUAUCUCCUCAAUUCUCUCUUCCUUCCAUCGAUUGCAAAUCUUUGGAUGAGCAAAGCACCCCAUUUCCUUUCUGAUCCCAAUCGAUUGUAGCCACCGCCUACCUUGCCAUCACGCCGCUAUCUUCAUCGCCCCCGAGCUCGUUGACCUUAGGCGAGCUCUGAGCUCGUCGGCCUUGGCCGAGCUCGGGCUCGCCUAGAUUAGGCGAGCUGCGAGCUCGCCGGCCAUGAUGGAGCUCGGGCUCACUUGGGUCGGCCGAGCCCCAAGCUCACUGGCCACGAUGGAGCUCGACAGCUUGGGCUCGCUUGGACGGGCGGAGCCUUGAUCUCGCCGGACUGCUUGGCUAGUCACCAUCGGCGGAGUAACAAGGGAGAAGAAGCAAGAGGAAAAAGAAAGAAAAGAGAAAAUAAGAAAAAAAUAAUAAUAAUAAUUUUUAAAAAAAUUAAAAUUAUAAAAAAAUCAAUUUUUUUAUAAUGAUAUUUGGUAGAUAGAUAUCCAUAUACAUACCGAAGAAAUAUUUAUCGAGGAAGCUCGAUGAUGUUUAGAUUGAUAAAUAGAUAAUCUAAAUAUCAUAAUGUAAUUUUUAACUUGGUGAACUAAAAUCAAGAAAUCAACCAAAAUAAAAAAGAAUGACAAUUAAGAAGCUAUGCAUUCUCGCAUUCGAGAAGAUUUCUUAUAAGAAAAUAUUAUUUUCAUGUCAAUUAUUAGCUAAUCAAACCUUUUCUUAUCAAGAGUUCUUCAAAAAUAUUUCAAUUUAAAGGUUUUUUCGCAUUUUUUAUUUUAUUUUAUUUACUUUUUAAAUUUGAUGUGAAGUUUUUAUUUAAGUAACUAUAUUGAGUUAAAUAUAAAUGUGUUUCGAUAAUAUGGGUCGGGUCGGAUAUGGAUCGAGUAUGGGUCGGAUCAGGUAUGGAUAAUCAAAUUUACAUUGCAUGAAGAUUGGUUAAAACGGAUUAAAUGGACUCAGGAAAACCGAGGAAUCUUCACUUAGCUUUUGGGACCACCGGACGAGUUCCUAUCUUAUCCUAUCCAUCUAGAAAUGCUUUGACGUAGAGGCGUGCGUGAUCAAUGCUGGUGUUGGUUGACCGGGGUCAUUGCAGAGUGCUCAACUGGGGAUGAGAUGCACCUUUUGGGAUGCAACCUUGAAAGCGUGCAAGAACCCCAGAUAAACAUACCGCAGCAGAUAUAAUAAGUACUAAAAUAAUAUAAAAAUCAAUUUUGACUAUCUAUAAUUUGAUAUCGCAUUUGCAGAAUCGCUCGAGAAUACAUUUUAUAUGCAAUCUGUUCAGUAAGCUCCCUAGUCAGGCGGGCGAUGCGAUAGCAAUAGUCGGGGUCAAUAUAUAUUUUACCUUACUGUUGUAUACAUCGGGUUUUAUGUUAUUAGCAUCGUAUACUUUCAUGUAAUCGAACGAUUAUCUUGGUUGAAACACUAAAGUUUUAAGAGUAGCGUAACCCUUUAUUGUGGUCUAAAUGCCUUUUUUUUGGAAAAUUACUGGUGGGUAAAUGCUGGAGAUCGAUGCUAAUCUUUUUUUUUUUUUUUUUAAAUUCUAAUUUGGGAACGGUGAGUGCAAAUUGCAGGCGGCUACCGUGCUGUUGCUGUUGCUGUUGUCAGCUGACGUAAGGACGCUUGCUUCUGAGGAGGAGAGCAACAAGACUGAAAGUGUAAAGGGGAUUGACCUUUGUCAAUUUGACCCUCGAUUCCUUGCUUUGAACUAAUUGUUCCCAUCCUGAAAUCUACCAUAAAUGGUUUUCGCAUAGAAGCGGUUCUUAAGGGGAAAGCCGGUUCUCAUUUGCGCCCCAACCACCCCCCCUCAUUUUUGUUUUAGGUAAAUGGUGUACUUCACUGCAUAAUAUGCUGCUUAAAUCCUCGCAAAAAUUGACCUCGUUGUCCCCGUUGUUUAAUCUCGCAUCAUUCUUAUAUAGGGUUUUCGAUGAGAUGGUACUGGAACCACCAAAUCCAAUUUCUUUGUACCGUCACUUGUUUACAUGUACUUGUUGAUUUUAAUUAGUUCAAUUGCAUGUGUCGAGUUGAUAAUAAUUUUAAAAAUGGGUUUCGAUAGUCUUAGUAACGAUUAAAUAUGAGAUUUAAUUGAAGAAUGUUCUAUUCAAUCGAAGUAUUUGGUUUAGAAUCUGCAGAACUAUAUGGAAUAAUCACUGUUCUUUUUUUUUUUCUCUCUCUUUUCUUUUUUAAUCUUUUCGUAAAUCGAUUUGGGCGUGUGGCGAUGGGUUGCUGCGUGGUAUGGUUGGGGGAAGGAAUUUUCCUCCUCGCUUUUGGGGUGCGGUAGUGUGUUGGACUUGGAAUAGAAGAUUGAAGAAGGGAGUAUUCGCAUGCUCUUUUGGAUGGUGUAAUGUAGAAAGGAUACACACGAAAUCAAGAAAAAGUCAAAUCGUGUCGCGUCGGUUCAAUGCAUCCAUUUUCGGAUUUAGCCUAGCUACACAGUGAAAUAAAUUCAACGAUUAUUCUUAUAACAUUGCAUAAUAAGCUCAUCAAUUAUUUCAUCCGUCCUUUUAUGAUAUCGAUUUUUUUUCUCUAUUUUUAUAAUAGUGACCUUCUUACAUUCACAUCUCGGACAUUAUAAAAUUUUUAAAAUACUAAAUUUUUCAUUAAACGAUUUUUGUCACUAUGAUGUCUCUUGGCAGUGCAGCACAAGCCCUUCGAAAGUCUAGUCACAACCCCGCGUUUAUCACAACCUCAACUUUCGACCAAAACCAAAGAAACUAGCGUGGUGAAGAUUUUGGUUAAUAUGAAAUUAUUGGAUUGACUUGACUGAAAAUGCAUUUGUGGAGUCGCCUCAAGAGAAAACGACGCUUGGGAGAUGGCCACAAGAGGAUGAUGUCAUUUUCCAAUUGCAUCCGACCACCUUAGGAUGUUGGCACAUGAUACCAACUCAUCUUCUUUUUCAUUCUCCCGAUUAAUAAAAUCAGAAAAUAUUUUUUAAAAAUAAUCAUUGAUACCAUUUAAAAUAAACAACCAAUAAUUUUUAUUUUUAUUUUUAUUUUUAUUUUUAUAGGUGAUGAAAAUAUUCAUCAUUCAUUAAUUUUUGCAAUUGACACCGAGCGAUUAAUUUCGUGAAAUUUUUCUUUCUAAAUCAUUUAUUUUUCACGGAAUAAACCGAGCCAAUCCCCUCAUUAAUUUUGAGGAAAAUUGUAGGGUGAGAUCACCUAAUUUCUUGGCAACAGGAACCUUUAUUAAAAAAAAGUGUUUUGUCCCAUGUUCAAUCUUUUUCUAAGUUCAACAUCAAUAUCAUGCGUUUAGUCGGAACGAACGUGGAACUCCACUCAUCGCUGGGAAAUUAAUCCAAAAAAGAGAGAAAAAAAUAAAAAUUAAAAAGAACAGUAGUUUGGCUUUUGCGUGAAGAUGUUGCGUUCGUCCCCAUGCUGUCCUUAUCAUUCGAAUUUUUCUCAUUCGAUUUGUCCAUUAUUUCAAACGAAAUCCUUAUAAACGACCCUUUUGGAUUUGAAUUGGUUUGAUGGGGUAGUGAGAGAAUCCUAGUCCUAGUAUAGUUCAUCCCAAAGAUUCUAAUUUUUAAGAAUUUACACAAAUACAAGUACAUUUUCUUUUUGGGAAAAGGGAGCCCCCGCCCCGCCCCCCGGGGGAGGGGGAGUAAAAAUUUUUAAGUGAUAUACAUCAUUCAAGGAUAUAUAUGAAGGUAUUUUUCUUUCUCUAUCUAUUCUUUUCAAUUUUAAACUCAAACUUUUGAAUUGUAGAUAGAAUAGAUGAAAGUAUUACAAAAACAAAUUAUGAAUUUAACACAUUUGCCACUAAUUUUUUUCAUGCAAAAAAUCCCAAAUUGGUACCUUAUAACACAUUUAUCCAGUCUCAUAAAUUGGUGCGCCUAACCCAAAUCUAGAAUUCUGUUCACUAUCCCAUUCAAAUUCAUACAUUAAGCGUGGUAGAAGAUAAUAAGAUAAAUCUAAGGUAGAGAACAACAAAUCCAAUGUGGAAAUCUACAUUGUUGACACAUAUACUUUUUAACGAAUGGUAGAUUUGGGUUAGAGGUACUAACCUAUGAGGCAAGGAUUACUUUAAGGGUAAACAUGUUAUUAGAUACAAGUUUAGGAUUUUUAAUGGUAUUAACUCUUCAUUUAAAAAAAAUUAAAUUCGUUUCUUAUUGAUGAGAUUUUGCUCAAUGAAAAAUUUAUAUCGAUUAAAUAAAUGAUUAUACCAUUGAAAAGUACAUAUGCGAAACUAUUUUCGAAACAAACCAUAUCAUUAAGAGUAUAUUUGAAAUGUGGUUUCUUUGAUCUAUCCGUUUAUUUUAUAAGUCUAAUGUAAAUGAGAGAUAUAACCCGGCAUACUCUCUAUCUACCCUUUUACUGAAAUUUAAUCUCAACAAAAGAUAACUCCUUGGAACCAACAUCUUCUCUAACUCCAACUUUUUACCAUAUAUAUAUGUCAAUGGUUUGUUCAUUAAGGUUGUAACAACUUCGGAAGUUUUGCCAAGAGACAUAAUUGCAGGUUCAGCAGACAUUAUUUGCACGGUCGAUUUGCUCUUCAGCAUCAGUUCAGUGGAUUUCCUUCUCUCUUGGUUUGAUUAUAUUGGCUUAGGCUAUAUAAUUUUGAGUCUUAUAUGUGAUCCAAGAGACCUGUCACUGUGAUUUGGCUACUGAGGAGAGUUUGAUAUGGUGCCCAGAUGCGCAUAUAUGUAGAUUUUGACUAUGACCAUGUACUGAUAUGGAAACAAGUGGAAAGUAUGUAAUGUAUAUAUGUUAUGAAUCGUUUGGUGCUGAACUGUUUUAUUCUUUCAAACUUUAUGACAUGUCUAAUCCAUUGCAUUCUGAGUUGAUGAUUCAUAGUUAAGUUAAACCAGUUACGGUUUUGUAGAUNNNNNNNNNNNNNNNNNNNNNNNNNNNNNNNNNNNNNNNNNNNNNNNNNNNNNNNNNNNNNNNNNNNNNNNNNNNNNNNNNNNNNNNNNNNNNNNNNNNNNNNNNNNNNNNNNNNNNNNNNNNNNNNNNNNNNNNNNNNNNNNNNNNNNNNNNNNNNNNNNNNNNNNNNNNNNNNNNNNNNNNNNNNNNNNNNNNNNNNNNNNNNNNNNNNNNNNNNNNNNNNNNNNNNNNNNNNNNNNNNNNNNNNNNNNNNNNNNNNNNNNNNNNNNNNNNNNNNNNNNNNNNNNNNNNNNNNNNNNNNNNNNNNNNNNNNNNNNNNNNNNNNNNNNNNNNNNNNNNNNNNNNNNNNNNNNNNNNNNNNNNNNNNNNNNNNUCUAGAGCCAAUCUCUUUAAUAGGUAAAUAUUGUCAGAUCCACUAUGUUGUUUAUGCAAUCAACAGACUCCAGAGACAAUAGAACAUUUGUUCUUGUUCUGUCCAUGGACAAAAGGGGUGUGGAAUCACUCAGCAAUCAACAUCACAUAUUUAUUAACAGGAGUGCAACGGAUUGAACGUUGGUUAAUUGCUAUAAUGGAAAGAGCGGAUGCCUUACCGGAUCUGGAAUUAAUUUCCGCUCUCCUAUGGCACAUUUGGAAAGCUAGGAAUACUUUCAUCUUUCGCCAGCAGCUACCAAAUGCCGAAUUUGUGGUGCAAGCGGCCCUCGCAUUUGCCAGAUACAACCGAUCUUUCAAUGAUACUCGGAAGAAAAGCGAUUCACCACAGUCAGCAACAGAUCUACGAUGGAUUCCACCGGAUCAAGGAGUAAUCAAGAUAAAUAUCGACGCGGCUUACCAACCUCUUGACAUCGAAGCUUCCGUUGCUUGUGUGUGCAGAAAUUCUUCAGGCCUAUUAAUCGAUGGAUUUGCGAAAUCUGUCUCUACAUCUUCGGCCCUGCAAACAGAGGUGAUAGCGUUGAAUCUCACACUGAAAUUCGUGAUACAUAAAGGAUUGGAGAUGGAUCGAAUAGACCUGGAAUCGGACUGCUUAACACUGGUGAAUGCCAUCCGUAAUCCGACUCUGACGCCAUGGGAGCUUUGUUGCCUCUUCGACGAAAAUGCAGACCUUCUCCUUCGAUGCCCUAAUCUUAGGGUUUCCCAUUGCAAAAGGGAGUCAAAUGUUGUAGCGGACCGGGCUGCGAAAGCCCAUGGAGCUAACCUGCUAUCUACCAACUGGGUUCUUUUUCCACCUUCGUUUUUGCGAGAUCUUUUGUAUGCUGACUAUAUGCAUGAUGUAAUUUCUACAGCUUAAUAUAUUAGUUACUUUUUCGACCAAAAAAAAAAAAUCCUCGCAAAAAUUGACCUCGUUGUCCCCG